AAAAAACAGUAAACCACCCUUUAAGAGCGAGUUGCGUUCGCGCCAUGGCGGAUUUAAACAGCGGAAUUUUAAGGCGCACAGCCAGACUGAAAGCCUCUCCAGAGAGCAAACGGAUCUGUUCAUGCGCGAGCAAAUAGGCUGUCUAAGAUGUAGAAGAGUUUGUUUCACAAUAAUUCACAAGCAAUCCACACAACUCCAGUCGAUCAAUUAACAUCUUGUGAAACAAAAGGCUGCGUGUUUAGGAUCUACUGGUGAGAAAAACAAAACAAAAAAAAACUCAUCUACGUCUUGCAUGGAAUGAGGCAUGCAUGACAAGCGGCUAGCUAAAGCAUCUCUGAGUCAUAACUCCAGCCGAUGGGAUAUGCAGCUUAAAAUUAAGAACACAAUCACAUCUCUAUAUCAUCUCUGCUUGAGGCAUAAGGCAUAAAAUAAGCCCUCAAACGUCAUCCGCUUUUGCCUCGGGGUGUCUUACGAAGAGCCUUGUGUGAUUCUACAAAGUGUCAGAGCGUAACAAGAGACUAUUUUCUGAUUUUUCUGAUCAUUUUCAGACUGCACAGAAAGUGAAACAAUGUAAAAAAAAUAAAAACUGGUUGCAAAAAUUACAUUUUUUGGGUUUCAUUUGCUGAUGGUUUUGAUUUUCGUAGGCCUUAAGUUGCUUUAGUGGUAGAAGCUUCUGUGCUUCCCCUACCUUGAAAGGCACCAGCCGCCAUGUACCCUCUUAGAGAACGAAGAUUUACCCUUUCCCUCAAAAACGUAUGUUCUUCCUUUUUCUUUUUGAAUGAGGCAGCAAAAUCUGCGGUCAUUCCCCUGACUGACAGCUGUAAAGCUGACGUAUCAUUAGUCAGAACAUCUGCCUGGUCUGAUCCAGGCACCAGUCCCCAAACACUUUUGUUCAGCAUAAUCUCACCGCUGUUUGAUUAAGCUGUCGGAGGCACACAGAGGUUGCUUGCGCUUUAAGACGAAGCUGGGAGACAAAUGUUAAGAUGGAGAAACAGCUGUUGGUUGUGGUCGAGGGCUGCGAGGAGAGUCUUUGCUGACGGUGAUGCGUAAAUUCCCAGCUGCUUGCACGACUCCCUUUUGCCACCUGUGCAGUUUUAAUGCAUAAUUUACUGCUAAAGUGUCUGUCCCCGUCUGAAUUACGGGUCCAAUUUGUAUGCUUCUUAAGUUGCUUUUGAAAAUGAGCCAUGU